UUAAUUGAGAGUUUGAUCCUGGCUCAGGAUAAACGCUGGCGGCGUGCAUAACACAUGCAAGUCGAACGAUGAA
rnacentral:rRNA from 1 species